UCCUACGUUCUAGCAAUCCUAGUUCUUAUGUUUGAGUAGUAUUUCGAUGGAAAAGCGCUGCGCGUUUUUGUUGGAGUGUUUCGUAUUGCUACCAAGCGUUAGUACAGUGAGCCAAUUAGCGACUACCUGUGGCAUUGGUCGUAAAGUUUGCUGGAGAGCUUACGCACGAGUGCGCCACGCUAGGCGAAGGCAGAUGUAAAAUGCGAUGAAAUGCGUGCGCGCUGAAGACAACGCUACGUCCAUAUUGCCCAAUCAGGCGAGAUGCGCCCGAAGGAAUGAAACGUGCGUGUUCUUCACGGACCUGACCGUCGACCACAGCGUUGCCUCUAAAAUGCACUUCCGAUGAGUGCACGGCCUAAGGCCUUCUUUGUUACGGCGUCUUCGUGUGGCAAAUGCCAACGGUGUCAAGAGACUCUUGAGGCUCGUAGCGUCAACGCAACUAGAGUCAUGUUCAUCUUUCAGGGAGGGCAAGUUAAUGGACUUCGAGUUUCGUUUUACGCGUCUGAGUUCAUCCUGCUUACAUGUUCGCAUGCACCGUGCGCCAUUUCAUUCUAGAUUCAUCGUCACCGGUUAAAACUGAGCAUCUGCGGGUGCCCGCAUUUAUGUAAAGUUCACUUGUUGACGUAACACGUUUUCUCAAGAGGCAAAGUGGUUCUGUUGUCUUGGUGAUAUCACAUGAACAUUUGUUGCCUACGGGAUUAUUGUUGUCACAUUUGUUGUCUACUCUAACUCGGUUGCAAUUUGAGCCUCUUACUUGUUUGUAAUCCAUUUCAUUGAUGUAGUUUCAUCAUCAAGUUUUCAAUCACCGAAUCACACAGGUUUCAACCUAUCUCCGGAAGAUGGUUGAUUGCUCAAUGAAGUUUCUGUACGUCCUUCAGCAGGGGCGACGUCAGCGGGGUUGUAGAGGGGGAGGAGGGAGGGAGGGGGGCCAUCAAAUUCUCGCCUUUGCCCUCCCCCCACCCCCAAGAGCAAGCAUAGUCAAAACACAAUGCAUAUGUUCCUUGCCCCCUGAAAGAACUCGCUUGUAAAGGGCGCCCCCCCCCCCCCCCUCCAUCAAUAAAAGAAUCCUGGCGCCGCCCUGUCCUUCAGUGACUCACACAAACGUAACACCAUAAGGUUCUGGUAGAUCACGCAUGGCCAUGUGCAAGCAAAGUUAUUUCAAAUUGUACAGCUUUCAUUAGAGCAAAUAUGUAUGAUGUUGAAGCUGAUCUUUUGUGUGAAUUUCCACAGUGUGAUCAGGUGCUCUUUGUGAAGAUGGCGUUGACACCCUUUAAAAAAAAAAAGUCGUAUUUAGGGUGCCUAAACAAGCUGUCGAUCAAGCAAUGAUUGGCUUUGUUUCCAAUGUCUAAAAUAUGCUGUGUUCGUUGUGCAAAAAAAAAAAGUCAUGACUCAACAAAAAAUGAUAAUCAACUGUUAGACAGUCUGAGUGAUAGCAAAUCUCCUUAGGAGAUGCAUCUCCUAAGGACACUUGUUUGUGGGCGUUUGUUUGCAAUGUCAGCACACAUUUCUCAAUAUGGCCAAUGGGUCAAAAUUCCCUAAUGUAAUAGCAAAUUUUCAAAUGGAGCAUCUGGUAAUGCGUAUUUCAAUAUGCUGUUUCAUUGCACAAUCUCCCGCUUCACAAUCAAAGAGGAAAGUGCAACUCCUGCAGCUUCUCAUUUUGUGCUCUACAUUUAGCAUGCAAACAAUCGUUGUGUAAAUGCUGGCUUUUCUCGAAUGAUCGAUGUAUAUCGGUGUUCCUGCAUCAAGUGAACUAAGCAUAUUUAGCCAUAGAAGCAGCCCCUGGAAUUAUUAUUACUGUGUGGCAGGAGGGUGCUUCUUGAGAGCAUGGCAUACUCGUGCUGUUUUGUUUGCACCACCGCGUUCGAUCAGUGUACUUAGAUAAUUUAAUCUUAUCUUGGCAUCUCUCAAUACGGGAAACCCUGCAUGCCACGAAGGUUUUUUCCUUAGUAUAUGGCCUGGGGUUCUGUAUGUUCCCCACUUGUAUGUAAAAAGGUACAAAGUGGUUGCCUAAUGCAUGACAUUAAGUGUAGUAGACUGACCCACUUGUAUCCCUGAUUCACCUCUCACCAAGUCCACUUCUCUUUGUACCUCAGUUUGCAGAAUUCAGGGCAUGUGCACAGACCGAGGAAUACAGGAUGGUGGAGGAUUGUCUUGAAGGAAUCGCUGGUGGCCCCUUCCACGAAUUGUUUGCAAACGAGCACAUGCGAGGAUUUUUCUUGCAGCGGCAUCAUCUCAUGGCAUAGCAUCCGGCUAUGACGACCAUUUGCAUUCUAUUGCUUUCUGCUGAUGUGUCUUGGUGUGAUGUCGUUCUGUCAGGUUUUCAGCAUGUUUUGUCUUGCUGUUGGUAACUGUGGAGUGUUUUCUUGUCAAGCUGGCCUUGUCAGCAUUGCUCGUUGUCACCCUAGUUGUGUCCAACUCAGCAACUCGGUCUGCUUUAUCUUAUUAUUACUACUGCUUGAUGGAUCUGUGGUGAGAGGGAAGGCUGUGGAAAAUAAUCGUAUUGACAUUGUAAUUUUUGUUCAUGGUCACAUUGUGCUGCUUUUUGAUUGUUACUUCAACAAUCAGUGCCAGCGACUGUUACCAUCAGCUUGUUUUGUUUCUGAUGGUAUUCUCAUAGUACAGUAAAAGCUCAUUAAUUGAAACUCAUAGGGGACUGUAAGAUUGUUCGAAUUAAGCGGAGUUUGAAUUAGUGGUUGAAUGCUACAGUGAACAUACUUCGGGCCAUGCUGUGCGGGAAAGAACCAAAGAGCCACAUGGACUUGUUAUUAAAAAGUAGGUGCUACAUGUUUGUAGCAGGUGACUUUGUAAAUUAAGUGAAGCUCUAAGACCGAAAAGAAUUAAUUGAUCAGUCAGUGAUUGACAAAAAAUACCUAGUGAAAUGCAUUCAUGCGAGCAAUUUGAUGUGAAAAUUAUGAUGCUAUUUGAGCUCCAAUUGCAUUUGUUUACAUGGAAAAGUUUGCACAAUUAGAAUGAAAAGUAAUCAGCAAUUUCUAUUAGCUUGCGUUUCUUCAGUUGCGACUCCAUGAGCAUCGUUUGCUGCUUGUUCAAGGGCUCUAACGAGUGUCCAAAUUGUAUUUUGACUAGAAAUGCUGCAGUUUCGUUGCUUUGGAUCUCUAGUGAGUUUGGUUUGGUUUUGCAACGCAUUGUGAUCACUCGACGCGGAGUUUCACGAGGAGCGAUGAAAACCAGGGGCUCCCUGUUGGAAUUAAUCAUUGUAGAUAUCGGCAUGUUCAAAUUAUUGGGAGCUUUCUCACAAUGAUAUUCGCAGCGCUCUGCCUGGGCCGGGGCAUCAGUUUGAAUUAACUGUAAGUUCAGAUUAUCCAAACUUGAAUUAACGAGCUUUUACUGUGUUCAGUUUUGAUUAUUUGUGGCAAAUGACGUGGACAAGAUAUUUGUCAUUGUUUCUGUCUCUGUUGACUGGCAGUUUAUAGUGAACUAAAAUUAUGAAUGGGUAAAAACUGUAAUAAAAUAACCAAAAAA